ACUUCGGUGAACAAAAACAACAUGCACUAACUACAAGCACUACUACUCCAGCACUACUGCACUGACGCAUCACACG